rnacentral:rRNA from 1 species
UUAAAUUGAAGAGUUUGAUCAUGGCUCAGAUUGAACGCUGGCGGCAGGCCUAACACAUGCAAGUCGAACGGUAACAGAAAGCAGCUUGCUGCUUUGCUGACGAGUGGCGGACGGGUGAGUAAUGUCUGGGAAACUGCCUGAUGGAGGGGGAUAACUACUGGAAACGGUAGCUAAUACCGCAUAACGUCGCAAGACCAAAGAGGGGGACCUUCGGGCCUCUUGCCAUCGGAUGUGCCCAGAUGGGAUUAGCUAGUAGGUGGGGUAACGGCUCACCUAGGCGACGAUCCCUA